GGUUCCAGGAGAAGGUAGCACAAUGGGGCAAAGGAAGGUGAAUGUUCCAUGAAGGAGAAAGUGUUCUGCAGUGGUCAAUACUGCUGAGAGUUCCAUCCAGGAAACUAAGGUUGGAGGCAGUCUAUGGAAUGUGUAAAUGUUACGAAGGUGGAUGAAAAUGGUGUCUGCCGAAAGCUCUUAGGAUGAAAAUGGUGCCUGCCACAGGCUCUUUACUUAGGAUGAAAAUGGUGUCUGCCACAGGCUCUUUACUUAGGAUGAAAAUGGUGUCUGCCACAGGCUCUAUACUUAGUCAUUUGUUGCAUUUCUGGAAAUAAGUA
rnacentral:lncRNA from 1 species